rnacentral:rRNA from 1 species
AACGCUGGCGGCAGGCUUAACACAUGCAAGUCGAGCGGAUGAAAGUAGCUUGCUACUGGAUUCAGCGGCGGACGGGUGAGUAAUGCUUAGGAAUCUGCCUAUUAGUGGGGGACAACGUUCCGAAAGGAGCGCUAAUACCGCAUACGUCCUACGGGAGAAAGCAGGGGACCUUCGGGCCUUGCGCUAAUAGAUGAGCCUAAGUCGGAUUAGCUAGUUGGUAGGGUAAAGGCCUACCAAGGCGACGAUCUGUAGCGGGUCUGAGAGGAUGAUCCGCCACACUGGGACUGAGACACGGCCCAGACUCCUACGGGAGGCAGCAGUGGGGAAUAUUGGACAAUGGGGGGAACCCUGAUCCAGCCACGCCGCGUGUGUGAAGAAGGCCUUUUGGUUGUAAAGCACUUUAAGCGAGGAGGAGGCUACCUAGAUUAAUACUUUAGGAUAGUGGACGUUUCUCGCAGAAUAAGCACCGGCUAACUCUGUGCAGCAGCCGCGGUAAUACAGAGGGUGCGAGCGUUAAUCGGAUUUACUGGGCGUAAAGCGUGCGUAGGCGGCCAAUUAAGUCAAACGUGAAAUCCCCGAGCUUAACUUGGGAAUUGCAUUCGAUACUGGUUGGCUAGAGUA